GAUGAACGCUGGCGGCGUGCCUAAUACAUGCAAGUCGAGCGAACAGACGAGGAGCUUGCUCCUCUGACGUUAGCGGCGGUCGGGUGAGUAACACGUGGAUAACCUACCUAUAAGACUGGGAUAACUUCGGGAAACCGGAGCUAAUACCGGAUAAUAUAUUGAACCGCAUGGUUCAAUAGUGAAAGACGGUUUUGCUGUCACUUAUAGAUGGAUCCGCGCCGCAUUAGCUAGUUGGUAAGGUAACGGCUUACCAAGGCAACGAUGCGUAGCCGACCUGAGAGGGUGAUCGGCCACACUGGAACUGAGACACGGUCCAGACUCCUACGGGAGGCAGCAGUAGGGAAUCUUCCGCAAUGGGCGAAAGCCUGACGGAGCAACGCCGCGUGAAUGAUGAAGGUCUUCGGAUCGUAAAACUCUGUUAUUAGGGAAGAACAAAUGUGUAAGUAACUAUGCACGUCUUGACGGUACCUAAUCAGAAAGCCACGGCUAACUACGUG
rnacentral:rRNA from 1 species